AUUGAACGCUGGCGGCAUGCCUUACACAUGCAAGUCGAAUGGCAGCACGGGUGCUUGCACCUGGUGGCGAGUGGCGAACGGGUGAGUAAUACAUCGGAACAUGUCCUGUAGUGGGGGAUAGCCCGGCGAAAGCCGGAUUAAUACCGCAUACGAUCUACGGAUGAAAGCGGGGGACCUUCGGGCCUCGCGCUAUAGGGUUGGCCGAUGGCUGAUUAGCUAGUUGGUGGGGUAAAGGCCUACCAAGGCGACGAUCAGUAGCUGGUCUGAGAGGACGACCAGCCACACUGGGACUGAGACACGGCCCAGACUCCUACGGGAGGCAGCAGUGGGGAAUUUUGGACAAUGGGCGAAAGCCUGAUCCAGCAAUGCCGCGUGUGUGAAGAAGGCCUUCGGGUUGUAAAGCACUUUUGUCCGGAAAGAAAUCCUUGGCCCUAAUACGGUCGGGGAAUGACGGUACCGGAAGAAUAAGCACCGGCUAACUACGUG
rnacentral:rRNA from 1 species